CUCCUUCCACACCUCUUUCUCUAGUCCUCAAUCUUUCUUUACAAAUACAUCUGUUGACCUUUUUCCUCUCUCUGAACCCACCUUGGAUACUGAGCUUGCACAAUCUUCACCUGCUACUGCAAAUCCGGAUCCACCGUCUGUCUCCGAUGAUGUUCCUGAAUCGCCACCUGCUACUCCUCUUCGUCGCUCUACCCGGGUAAGAGAACCUCCCA
rnacentral:lncRNA from 1 species